GUAAUCAGGUCACCUGUCGCGUCUUGCGCUCUGUUUGCAGUGAUCAAUCUAUCCGUUGCUGCGUCGCGUUACUUUCUUCAAAAAAACGAAACAUCUCCCAAACCGUUUAUCACUAAUGUCUCAAUAUACGGUGAACCGCGAGGUCACAAACACUUUUCGAAGUAAAACGAACCACAAGAUCUGGAGCAGCUGUGAACCGCGAGGUCACGAACACUUUUCGAAGUAAAACGGACCGCAAGAUCUGGAGCAGCUGUCAAGAAGAAUAAACAGAUUCUGUGAGUAUCCCAAUUGAACCAUGAAGAAGAAACUGCGAACUGUAAGUCCAGAUUUUUCCUUUUUGGGGCAUCAUUUUGGCCCCCUGUUUGGUCUGGUUGGUCAGGGUCGAUGGGUGAAGAUUGAUAUAGUUAAAAGUAGUGCAGUAUAGGUUCUAAGUGAAUGGUGUACCACUAGUUGGAUCUCUAUGGGUAGAGCUAUAAACAUACUCCAGGGUUGUGUUCAGACUUUCUUCUGCCCACUUCGCCACUACUUCCCUGAACCUUGCAUCACUUUACGUGUGUGGUGUCUUACUGAUGCGGGUCUGGUCUGAGCGAUUAGAGAUGCAUGCUAGGGUACUGUGCUGUCUGAAGUCUACAGUUCUGUAGACGUGCCCUCUCAGAGGAAACCAAGUGUUUAAGAGGCCGUCGUAACGUCGGUUACGUGAAGGGGAAAGUCUAUCAAGAUGGUGAUGGGACUCCCCUGAGGAGAAACGCACGGGGCAAGAUGUGAGGGCUCCUCCUCUCAGCAACUAGAACACAGCCUGGUUCCUGCACCGGAGAACCAUGGAGCACAUUUCAACGUUCUCCUCCAUACAUCUUGAAGCCGUAGCGACGGUUUCUCUACCUCCACAGCUGGAGGAGAGCACAAUCGCAGCUCAGGAUGGGUCCUUGUUGGGGUCUUUCCAGGUUGUUUUCUGGUUUGAGGGGACCCAUCUUCCAGGCCCAGCUGGCCUCGCCCAUUACUCUGCAGUACAGCCCUGAGAAAGACUUGCAUCUGAGCCAGCAGAGGGCUCAUCGGCCUGCUGCUCAGAUGGGAUGAAGAGGAUCCUGCUGUUCAACACCCACCACCCCUCCACUGGGUGGGCCUUCUCAACAGACCACCUACCUCACCCCUUCCAUCAAAUCCUGUCCCCGUCCUCGGGCUCAUUAAGCGGCACCAUUUGAAUCUGAGCAUCACUGCGGACAGUACAGAACAAUGUUUAACGAUGAGUAUGAUAACGGGUAGCUGCAGCAUCACCAAGGAGAUUACGCACAGACGCCUGAGAUGGCUGGGACAUGUGUUGAGGAUGGAGCCGGACCGCAUCUCGAAGGUCGCCUUAAGAUGGACACCACCAGGCAAAAGAAAACCUGGGAGGCCAAAAACCACCUGGCGCAGAACUGUGACACAAGAGCCGGAACAGAUGAACCUGUCGUGGGGAGAGGCCCAACAUACUGCCAGGGACCGAGUGGAAUGGUGAGGGCUCAUUGAGGCCUUAUGUCCCUUAGGGGACGAAGAGUAGUAGCAUGAUAACGGGUACGGCUUGGCUCAGAGGUAGCGCGGGGUGACUUGUAACCCGAACUGUGUUAAACGCCAAAUGUCCUAAAUGUAAACAGUAGUUUGUCUAUACUACUUGUUAAUGAAGUCUUUAAUUUGUAUUUCUUUCACACAUGUGUGCGCCUGGUCAGAGUUUGACCAUGCAUGGGGUUCAUAUGUCAGAUUUUAACAUGCAAAUGGUUCUUCAUGUGCGGGUGGUCAGCUUUUAACCUGACAAAUGGUUCUUUGUGUGAGUGGUCAGCUUUUAACCUGGCAAAUGGUUCUUUGUGUGAGUGGUCAGCUUUUAACCUGGCAAAUGGUUUUGUGUGAGUGGUCAGCUUUUAACCUGGCAAAUGGUUUUGUGUGAGUGGUCAGCUUUUAACCUGGCAAAUGGUUCAUGUGAGUGGUCAGCUUUUAACCUGACAAAUGGUUCUUUGUGUGAGUGGUCAGCUUUUAACCUGGCAAAUGGUUCAUGUGAGUGGUCAGCUUUUAACCUGGCAAAUGGUUCUUUGUGUGAGUAGUCAGCUUUUAACCUGGCAAAUGGUUCUUUGUGUGAGUGGUCAGCUUUUAACCUGGCAAAUGGUGUGAGUGGUCAGCUUUUAACCUGACAAAUGGUUCUUCGUGUGAGUGGUCAGCUUUUAACCUGGCAAAUGGUUCAUGUGAGUGGUCAGCUUUUAACCUGGCAAAUGGUUCAUGUGAGUGGUCAGCUUUUAACCUGGCAAAUGGUUCAUGUGAGUGGUCAGCUUUUAACCUGGCAAAUGGUUCUUUGUGUGAGUGGUCAGCUUUUAACCUGGCAAAUGGUUCUUUGUGUGAGUGGUCAGCUUUUAACCUGGCAAAUGGUUCUUUGUGUGAGUGGUCAGCUUUUAACCUGGCAAAUGGUUCAUGUGAGUGGUCAGCUUUUAACCUGGCAAAUGGUUCUUCGUGUGAGUGGUCAGCUUUUAACCUGGCAAAUGGUUCUUCGUGUGAGUGGUCAGCUUUUAACCUGGCAAAUGGUUCAUGUGAGUGGUCAGCUUUUAACCUGGCAAAUGGUUCAUGUGAGUGGUCAGCUUUUAACCUGGCAAAUGGUUCAUGUGAGUGGUCAGCUUUUAACCUGGCAAAUGGUUCAUGUGAGUGGUCAGCUUUUAACCUGGCAAAUGGUUCUACAUGUGAGCCUGGUCAGCUUUUAACCGGCAUGGGGUUCUACAUGUGUGAGCGUGGCCAGGGUUCUGGUCCCCUCAAGAUUUAAACUGUUGCUUUAGGUGGAGGCCCAUUAUAUGUUUUGACUUUUCAGCUACGUUUCUGGAUGAGUUCAGCCCGACCAAAUCACCACGGAAACAAAGUGAGUGGUACAGACACUGACUGAUUUAACGCCAACAGGUUCAGAUCGUCACGACAAACAAGGUCUACGAUAGGAAGGAGCAAUGGAUGCCUGAAACAAUGGAUGAUGGCCUCCGGAUGGACAGAAGUUUGGAAAUGUUCCAAAAGAUCUUUGGAAAUGGUUACUUAAGCGAGUCGGCGACGUGGCUGCCCUUCCUAACCCCGGAGGACGAUGGCUGGCGGGCCCUGUGGAUCAAGACUUCUGUGCUGUGAUGAAAGCCUAGCUCAGGCCGAGGUAUAAUUUAUAGGUCCACUUGAUUCAGAAACCAACCUUGGAAACAUCCCAAUCCAUUGUCCUCUUCAAGCUGCAGUUAUGCUGUUCUCCAGAGGAGGAGGUAAAGAAACCCUAACUGGGGCUUCAAGAUCUAUGAAGAGGAACAUUGAAAUCUGCUCCAUGGUUCUCUCAAGUAGGAGCUAUGUUGUGUUCUACUCGCUAACUGUUGGAGCCCUCCCAUCCUACCCUUGGUGUCUCUCUUUGGGGAGUCCCUGUCACGGUCCUGAAGGAUGUUCCAGUUUGUGUAACUGAUGUUACGACAGCCUUUGAACACUUGGUUUCUUCUGAGGGGGUACAUCUACAGAACUGUGGUCUUCAGACGGCAUAUUAUCCUACCAUGCAUCUCUGGUCACCAAGACCACACCCAGAUCAGUAAGGCAACAAUCAUGCAAUGGGAAUGCAACGUUUGGAGAGUAGCAAGGAAGUGGACAAAAGGUGUAAGCAUCUCAAGUCUGUAGCUCUGUUAAGGGGAGGGGAGAUUAAUGGUUUAUUUUAGCACGUUGUUUCUCUAAAAAAUACACUUUAUAACUGUAAAUAUCUAGAUAAUUUACAAAAGUGGUCUGAGAUAAGGGAUGUCAGUUAAAGAUAUUCGGGUUAACUGUGGUUACCAAACAUGAUGGUUAUACGUUUAUUGUACAGUUCUAAGCCUUGUUUAUUGUUAAUCAAUUUGUUAGAUGGGCGGAACUGUGUAGUUAAAAUUACUAGUUCUGUACAUAAACCAACAGCAACAAACUACUAGAUCGACUCAAGGUAAGUCUGUUGGCUGUAUUGUGAGAUGAGACGAUGGACCCCAAGUUCUUCAUCCUCGUUCAGCUCAAGGUGAGGUGCUGGUUACGUUACUUAUUUCUGGUUAGGUUUUAGUGUUGGUAUUCCAGUUGGAAUAUCAUUCAUCACUAAUGACUUUACACUAUUGGGUCAUCUGGCAGUACGAGUAGGAUUGGCAUUUGCGUAACCUCAUCACUAACGAGGGUACCCUAUUGGGUCAUCUGGCAGUACGAUCAGGAUUGGCAUUUGCGUAACCUCAUCACUAAUGUGUUUACACUAUUGAGUACUGGCAGUACCCGAUUUCCACCGGUAACCAUCUGGCAAAUUUGUCUUGUGCUUUAGGUAAGACAUAAUUCUAAAACAUAACAUUAGUUGCUGAAUUGUUGUGCGUUUAUCUCCAAAUUUUACCUACGACUUGGCUAACUGCGCUGUACUUAAGUCAACUGACUCUCACUGCGUACCGAACUCCAUUCUUGCGCGCACAUUUUUGAGUCGCGAAUAAGAUCGGAGACAAUUUGGCAUUUUCAUACUACGGAGUACGAUCGUCCCAGCAGCUGAAUGUGGCAAAGUAUAAUUUUAUUAUUAAAUUAACUAUUGAUACUGCUAGUGAGGUAAAUAUCUGGGCUGUAAGUUUCAGUUAAACUCUACCAAAAUGCAUGGAAUUACUUUUUUAUUAUUUUUUUGUGGUGAAUAGUUAGGUAACCUUAUGAAAUUAAUCGGCAGCUAAAAUCAUGGAACCAUGUCCCACAUGCUUACACAGUAAUAUGGACUAGAUAACUGUACAGAGCUGAACUUGGUACUGUAUUUUGUGUCCCCAGGUGUCUGCCUCCACACCUCCCUGCUGUCACCACUGGUCUAAGAAGUCCAUAACGGUUAGUGUGGGAGGCGCAGCUCCAGUACUUGCUUUCUUGAACCUGUGUGAUGCACAAGAUGUUGAUCCAACCGCACAGUGAGCUCUGCAGGGUGGUCAGGACGGCUGUAGACGUGGAGCACGGGGCGGGGAGCCAGGCUCACCAGUGAUCUCCUGGGCGAGGCGUGUGGCGCCAGGAGGGACCGAGGCUGACCACCAAGCUGCUCUGAAACGCCCAAGGCCAGGCAGUAUUUUAGUUCUUAGUUUUUUCUUAAUAGUAGUAGUUCUGAUUUUCAUUCUGUGACAUUUUGCCAAAGCUGUGAUUUGAGAUAAUAUCUUGGGUCAUCCUAGUAGUUGGCUGUUUUUGCCCCUAUUGCUGCUCCUGCUACUAUAGUUUAUACAUUACUCAAUAAGUUUAAAUGUAAACUUAAGAGUUUGAUAUUUGUUACCGCUUUACAAGUGCAAGGGUGUUUGUUACCAGAUGUUAGACGAGCUACCACAGUUGUUACCAGACAUGGAGGUGAAACCACCUGUUUGUCACCAGACAUGGAGGUGAAACCACCUGUCUGUCACCAGACAUGGAGGUGAAACCACCUGUCUGUCACCAGACAUGGAGGUGAAACCACCUGUUUGUCACCAGACAUUGAGGUGAAACCACCUGUUUGUUACCAGACAUGGAGGUGAAACCACCUGUUUGUCACCAGACAUGGAGGUGAAACCACCUGUUUGUCACCAGACAUGGAGGUGAAACCACCUGUUUGUUGUCCAGAAUAGGACCCGUGGUGGAGGGCAGCUAGUGGGGAGCAGUGCUGGAGGACCUGCUGGGAAGGACAUCCCUCGUUGGGGUAAAGACACCCGUCUCUGAGAUGUGAAGGCUGCAGAGGACCCACCAGGAUCCCCUUGGAGGACAACCAUUGGACUACGUGAGGUCUUUGGAAGCACUACAGUUCAGAAUGACUUCCAAAGAAUGAAGCCCACCCCCCAUGGCUCAGCUAGUGGCGUUCACCGGACCAGGAACCCCGAGACCUGAAGGAGGAGCCGUGCAUCUGGAGGAACACCAUGAGGCUACCCGCCAAGUAUUACUCACUUCCACGAGGAGGGGGGCUGACGGCUGGAGGACCUGCCUACUGGUGGGGCGAGUGACACCCGGCUCUACAGGGAUGACCACCCAGGAGAGAGAGCGGAAGCCGUGCAUCCUGAAGGGGAAUCAGUGACAGUGAUCCAUGUCAUCUAUUUCUGCAAGGCGCGGUUGAAGUGCUGUGUUCAGUCUGGGAAGGACACACCUGAGCUGUUUCACCCUGAGCUGCUCCACACCUGCAUCUCUAACCAGCUGAAGCCCUUCAGUGACCAACAAAAGGUGCCUCAUCACAGCUUAUCAUCGCUGGCCUGUGGAUUCAUCUGCUACACUCACACAACGUGACUUUGUCACCAUCUGCUGCACGUUGGGAUGCUAACGUGUUCCACCAGGGGUUCCUUCCUUCCCGCAGUGGGAGUGUUCCUUGUCCUUCAAGGAGUUAGGGUUCAGUGUUAGGGACAGAGUUAGGGAGAGAUGGUUGAGUCCUGGCUGGUUUACGAUGAACUGCUCUAACGCUUUGGCAAAAUGUUUCAAUGUGCAAACACUCACAUACACACAUGUAUAAUGUGUAUAAUUACAUGUAUAAUAAGUGUUUAUGAAAUAAAUUCUGUUAUAAUUCUGCAUGUUUGUGUAGGGGUUUUAUU